UCAAACGUGACAAGGUCCAAUUAAACAGUAAUUAAAACACAUUCCCAAGGUUCAAACAAUUUGAUUUUAGCGACUUAUCAUAUAGCUCAAUUAUCGUUUAAGGCAUAAGUCCAAAGUCAUCCAUUUUAUAACUACUUAAACACAUUUAAAUAAUCAUAAUGGAAUGCAACAUAAACAUUUAGAUUUAGUGCAUAUGGGCAUAAUAUAAUUAUGAGUUUAAACAACUAACAAAAUUAAAAUCAAAUAUUUUAACUUUCUAGUUAGCAGGGGCCUAAAUGUAAAUAUGAAAAGUUAGGGGUAAAACCGUAAAUAUUUCAAAGUAAAUAUCAACUUUUUAAAGAUUACAAAAUAGCCCCACAAGUGGAUAAAUCCACUAGGGAGGCCGGCCACAUUAAGGGGAUGGGAGUUCUCUUACACAAUCUUACACAACAUGCAUUAAAAGCCACAUUAUGUAAGAAAAAUUAAAUUUUGCUUGUCACUUGGUUUUGCAAUUAAAACUUAGGUGAGAUGGGUGAUGGAAAUCCUCCUAGUCAAGUCUAGGGUUUUAUAAGUUUUUAAUAUGGUUAUGGAUGGUAAGAACAUCAUCCAAAACCAUAAAAACCAUGCAUGAAAACCAAUUAAAACUAUUUUCACCCAAAACCAAACCAUGAACACCAAGAACAAAACCAUGAACACAAUUUCAAGAUUUGAACAUUCUUGGUGAUUUUUCAAACCCAAAAACAAAAGUGACAAGAACACUUCUUUUAAGCUUUAAUAGGAUGUGUGAGUGGUUUACAAUAAAACACAAACACAACCCAAAACCACCCCCAAAACCGUGCCUACCCUUUUGAACAAAACCCCAAAUUUUGUUCAUGACUUAUUCUUCAUUCAUGCAUACAAAACAACUUUUACAUGCAUAUCUUUUUCAACUCUUGAUUUACAUUUUUCAACCAUUGAAAAACAAAAGACAAACAUACUUUUAAAUGAAGAAAUAAUAUGUCUAACUAGUUCUAAACUCAUUUUUCAUUCAUGUAUACAAAACACUUUUGCAAACAUAUCUUUCUCAACUUUUGACUAACAUUUUUCAACUAUUGAAAAACAAAAGAUAAACAUACUUUGAAUGAAACAAUAAUAUGUCAUACAUAACAUUAAUACCCAUAUGCAUAAAAUCCAAAACGACACAUUAUACAUAAACCAUUGGCUCUGAUACCACUUGAAGGGAAAUUUAUGAGAUUCUAGAAUGGGAUUUCAUAAUGACUAUCAUGCAUAUACAAAUCAAAUUUAAUAUACGAAAGCAGCGGAAGCAUUUAUAACAUAUUAUCAAAGCUAUAGUCAUGCAAAUCCCCUUCAAGGUUCAUAGGUUUAUAUAUAAUGCAUCAAAACAAUUUUUUAGAAUCAAGAACAAAGUGAAGGUUAGUCUUAUACCUCUUGAUCUAGACUUAAGACCAUGGAUGGACCACCUCCAAGGCCUUUGCUCCUUGAAAUCCUUGAGCCUAGCUUCCCUCCUUGCCUCCUCCACUUUGUUACUAUGAGUGCUCCUAGGUUCUCUUCAAGUUCCCAAAGUAGGAAACCUCUAAAGAUCCUCACCCACUAGUGUAGUGAGAAGGAUGAAGGAAUAACCAAAAGGGUGUAAGAGAGGUUAGUAAAAACCCCCUUUGGUGGCCGGCCUUUGUGGUUCAAGAUGGCUAUUUUCUUUUGCCUCUUUUGUUGUUCAAAACUCACAAAAACCCUAAUGAACUUUAUCUCUAUAAAGUUGCUUAUAUAGACAAAAGAAACCUAGUCAACAACUUGACUAAAUAUCUCACCUUUCCUCACCUAAAGUGGCCGGCCCCUUUGUGUUGUUUUUGGGCUUUGGG
rnacentral:lncRNA from 1 species